AGUGAACGCUGGCGGUAGGCCUAACACAUGCAAGUCGAACGGCAGCACAGUAAGAGCUUGCUCUUACGGGUGGCGAGUGGCGGACGGGUGAGGAAUACAUCGGAAUCUACUUUUUCGUGGGGGAUAACGUACGGAAACUUACGCUAAUACCGCAUACGACCUACGGGUGAAAGCAGGGGAUCUUCGGACCUUGCGCGAUUGAAUGAGCCGAUGUCGGAUUAGCUAGUUGGCGGGGUAAAGGCCCACCAAGGCGACGAUCCGUAGCUGGUCUGAGAGGAUGAUCAGCCACACUGGAACUGAGACACGGUCCAGACUCCUACGGGAGGCAGCAGUGGGGAAUAUUGGACAAAGGGCGCAAGCCUGAUCCAGCCAUACCGCGUGGGUGAAGAAGGCCUUCGGGUUGUAAAGCCCUUUUGUUGGGAAAGAAAAGCAGCAGGUUAAUACCCCGCUGUUCUGACGGUACCCAAAGAAUAAGCACCGGCUAACUUCGUG
rnacentral:rRNA from 1 species